rnacentral:misc_RNA from 1 species
GCGAGUAUGGCCCUCACGGGUCUAAUCCACCAUAAACACCUUUGUGAACCAGUCAGGGGGACUCGGCCGUGAAAGCCCAGGCGAUUGGCGGAAGGGCCCUCCUUUGCAAACCCGUUUAGAAGUCUUGAAAGUACUUUUGUAUAAUCUAGUA